GUGAACGCUGGCGGUAGGCCUAACACAUGCAAGUCGAACGGCAGCACAGUAAGAGCUUGCUCUUACGGUUGGCGAGUGGCGGACGGGUGAGGAAUACAUCGGAAUCUACUUUUUCGUGGGGGAUAACGUAGGGAAACUUACGCUAAUACCGCAUACGACCUACGGGUGAAAGCAGGGGAUCUUCGGACCUUGCGCGAUUGAAUGAGCCGAUGUCGGAUUAGCUAGUUGGCGGGGUAAAGGCCCACCAAGGCGACGAUCCGUAGCUGGUCUGAGAGGAUGAUCAGCCACACUGGAACUGAGACACGGUCCAGACUCCUACGGGAGGCAGCAGUGGGGAAUAUUGGACAAUGGGCGCAAGCCUGAUCCAGCCAUACCGCGUGGGUGAAGAAGGCCUUCGGGUUGUAAAGCCCUUUUGUUGGGAAAGAAAAGCAGCAGGUUAAUACCCCGCUGUUCUGACGGUACCCAAAGAAUAAGCACCGGCUAACUUCGUG
rnacentral:rRNA from 1 species